GGUGAGAAGACUGCAACACAUUGGUGACUGGAGGCCUUGAAGGACUGCCUCAAAGAAAGGGAGUCAGUGAGAAAUUUAUUUCCAUGCUGUGAAUAUAUUAUAUAUACAUAUGUGUGCACAUUUAUCAUGGCUGAUAGAAGUCACCUGUACACUGCUGAUAUGGCCCAGAUGGCUGCAGAGGUUGAAGAGGAUGAUGGGCUCUACGUGGUGAUUUUUCCAUCAAAUCAAAAAGAGACUGGAUCACUGACUGGGUAUAUGAAGAAUUCCUUCCUGCUUGAGGCAUAAAUGUUUGCCUUGGAUUAUUUUGUGAGCAGCCUACCAGCCUACUUACCAGCCUACUACCACUGGUAUAAACUUACAUUGGGCAAAGAGGCAAAAUACAGACUACUUGGAAAGUUACACUGAAAAGAACAAGGACUGAGAAGAAUGUUACAUUACAGUCUGAGAAAGAAGUAUUUUGACUGAGGGGGUUUGCAAUUAAAUAACUUCCCUUAUCAGGACAUGUGCAUUUUUAUUACGAGUGAAGAAUUUAACCAAUUUUGCUCUGUUCAUGGAAAUGGAAAUGAAGGGGUAGGUAGGGGUGGUGGGGGAAAUGUAGCACUUAUAAUGGGGCAGGCAUGAGACUUGAAUGUGUCUUCAGAAGGAUCUGGACAAGUGGGCAGCCAUGACAGCAAAGCUAGAGUGUCACUGAGCAUGUCUAUCAUUUCUGUUAUGCCAGUAAACUGAGGAUUGUAGGCUUUCCAUAUACCUUAACAGAAACUUAUUCAAUCAACAGCACUCUGACUUUUUUAAACUAGAAGAAUAAAGAUUUUUAUUAAGCACUCUAAGUAGCUUUUAAUAAUCUUCAAAUUCAGCUCAUUAAAAUCUAGCUACAAUCAAUGUAACUUAAUAGUAGUUCACUCUUACACAAUUCAUGAGUUAGGAUAAAAUAUCCGUCAACUUACAAGAAGACAUUAAGAUACAGCUUAUCUUUUGAAGGAGUGAAAUGAGGAGCUCUACCUCAGCUCUGAUCACUAGUGAGUACACCAACUGUUAAAGAAAACAGGUUUUAGUAUAAUGCAGAGAGAAUUCUCGGCUGAUGCUACAGGCCAUGAAAUCAUGUUAUGACUAAUGAGUCUAGGUGCAAAUUUUGCUGAGAAAAUAGGUGAAGUUAUAUUAACUUUGGGAAGUCAAAUAAAUAAAAGGUGAGGAGAAUCUAGGUAUGUGCAGUAAAUAGUGUUGCUCAAGUAAUUUGCCAAAUAUUUUGUAAUUUAUUUAAAAAUUAAUUUAUUUUCUCAUUGCUUAUUUUUGUGUAGCAUCUGAUUUCUCCCCUCAGGCGUAGUCCCUUAGUUCUCCUACUACCAUAGUACCCUUGAUCCAUCACCAUAGCCUCUGCACUCUUUCCUCCAUUUUUGACCCAUUUCCUGACCCCUUCCCUGCCACAUGCCUCAGAUCUCUGGUCAACUUGCAAGUUUUGUCUUUUUCCUGAUCCUUUAUUUGAUUUCUUUAUAUCUCACAUAUAAGUCACACACCUCAUAUUUCUCUUCUUUUCUCCUGACUUAUUUAGCAUAGCCUUGUCCUUUUUUAGCUCCAUCCAUGUUGCCUCACUUUUGGUAAUUUGAAGCUGAGAAAAAUAUACCUGUGACCUCACUAUUUGCGGUUGAGCUUUCUAUUUUUUUUUAUGUUUCCUUUUUUCCAGUAGUAUUUUCAAAACAAAAAUUAAAAAUGGUCACUUUGUCUCAGCUGGACCUAGAGACAGAGGUUAAAAGGUACGCCAAGAUAGGUAGGGAGAACAAAGAACUGCAAGGAAGUUAUGAUGACAGCAAUGGUCAUCUCCCUUAGAGGAUAAGGGGGCUGGGAUAAGGAAGUUAGGGGUAAAAAGUGGGAUAGGGUUCAGGAUGGAGAUGACGGUCUUCCUUCCAGCCUGCUGUUUUCCCUCACAAACUUACCUGUGUGUAUGUGCACAUGCGUGGUGGUUGUUGAUGGUAACUUUUUAUUUAGAAAUAAUUUUAAACUUAUAAUAAAGUUGUGAGAAUAAAAAUAGCACCUAUAUGCUCUUUCCUCAUUUCACCUAUUGUUAACGUUCCCAAUAUAGUUGAUAGGAUUUAUCAUUUAUGAAUGAUUGUGAACUCACCAACACAUACAUACACACAUAUAUAUUUUCCUUGAACAACUUGAAUAAAGGUUGUAUACAUACAACCUUUUAUGUCUAAACACCUCAUGUGUAUUUCUUAAGAAUAAGCAUAGCCUCUUAAGUACGAUAUAGUUUUCAAUGUCACUAAAUUUGACAUUGAUAAAAAUACAUUGCUAUAAUCUAUGUUUUGUAUUCCCCCCCGCCUCAGCUAACCAUAUAAUAUCCCUACAGUAUUGGGUCCAUUCUAGGAUCAGACAUUGCAUUUAGUUAUUUUGUGUCCUUAAAUCUGCUGUCUUGGCCCUCCCUGGUGGCGCAGCGGGUUAAAGCACAGCACUGAGAAGCUAAAGCCGCUUCCA